CAAUAGCGUAUAUUUAAGUUGCUGCAGUUAAAAAGCUCGUAGUUGGAUUUCGGGUGGGAAUGGCCGGUCCGCCGUUUCGGUGUGCACUUGCUACGCCCACCUUGCUGCCGGGGACGUGCUCUUGAGUUCACGCUCGGGACACGGAGUCGGCGAGGUUACUUUGAGUAAAUUAGAGUGUUCAAAGCAGGCCUACGCUCUGAAUACAUUAGCAUGGAAUAGCACGAUAGGACUCUGGCCUAUCUUGUUGGUCUGUAGGACCGGAGUAAUGAUUAAGAGGGACAGUCGGGGGCAUUCGUAUUUCAUUGUCAGAGGUGAAAUUCUUGGAUUUAUGAAAGACGAACUACUGCGAAAGCAUUUGCCAAGGAUGUUUUCAUUAA
rnacentral:rRNA from 1 species